UUGGAUCCUUUGACAGAUAUUUUGAAUAAAAUGGUUUCAGUUGUAUUGAAAGGCAAAGGCUGUUUAAUGGCCUAUUCAUUUCAUUGUGACAACUAUUGCUAAGUACAGGACCGGCCGCAUACAGCAGGUUGAGGAGGAGGACGGGCACCGGGGUUGUGACGGGAAUCCUGUACAUUUCUGCCGUGCGUGGGUGCAGCGACGCUCCAGCAUGAGACCACUGGCACUGUGGUGGACAGAAGCACAAGAUGUUGUUUUUGUGGCUUUGACUAAAUAUUGGAGACAUUUUUCAUGUCUUACCUGUAAAAUGAAACCUGCAAAAUAUACCGUCCAAUCAAGC